rnacentral:rRNA from 1 species
UGGGGAAUCUUGGACAAUGGGCGCAAGCCUGAUCCAGCCAUGCCGCGUGAGUGAAGAAGGCCCUAGGGUUGUAAAGCUCUUUCGGCGGGGACGAUAAUGACGGUACCCGCAGAAGAAGCCCCGGCUAACUCCGUGCCAGCAGCCGCGGUAAUACGGAGGGGGCUAGCGUUGUUCGGAAUUACUGGGCGUAAAGCGCACGUAGGCGGGUCGUUAAGUCAGGUGUGAAAUUCCUGGGCUCAACCCAGGACGUGCACUUGAGACUGACGGGCUUGAGGCCGGGAGAGGAUGGUGGAACUCCCAGUGUAGAGGCGAAAUUCGUAGAUAUUGGGAAGAACACCCGUGGCGAAGGCGGCCAUCUGGACCGGUACUGACGCUAAGGCGCGACAGCGUGGGGAGCAAACA